rnacentral:rRNA from 1 species
AACGAACGCUGGCGGCGCGCCUAAUACAUGCAAGUCGAGCGAGAAGACGUAGCAAUACGUUUGUAAAGCGGCGAACGGGUGAGGAACACAUGGGUAACCUACCCUAGAGUGGGGAAUAACUAGCCGAAAGGUUAGCUAAUACCGCGUACGCUCCUUGGACUUCGGUACAGGGAGGAAAGCGAUACCGUGGGUAUCGCGCUCUUGGAUGGGCUCAUGUCCUAUCAGCUUGUUGGUGAGGUAACGGCUCACCAAGGCUUCGACGGGUAGCUGGUCUGAGAGGACGAUCAGCCACACUGGCACUGCGACACGGGCCAGACUCCUACGGGAGGCAGCAGUAAGGAAUAUUGCGCAAUGGGCGAAAGCCUGACGCAGCGACGCCGCGUGGGGGAUGAAGGU